rnacentral:ribozyme from 1 species
AAAAAGAAAAAAGUUUCCCACGACAGAUCUUGCCGCUUGUUGUGUCAUUGCUGUGCAUGUUUUUUUUUUUUUUUUUUUUU